AGAAGCUGAAAAUACAGUACAAAGAUGAGAAGAAUUCACCUUAUUCCGGGCAGCGAAACGAGGACUUCGAGUGAGAAAAUGCGUCAACCACUGACUACGAGAGAUUCCGAACAAAAGCAAGGAAGCUUGAGAUGGAAAUUCGGAAUUAAAAACCUUUAGCCUAACCACUAGAAAACCAAAAGAGAACCUUUUGAUGGAUUUUUAUAUAACUAUAUUAUGCCUCCCUUCUCUAUAUUCUUCCGAUAUUCUUUCUUUGUUUCUUGUCAAAGAUUUCCAAUUUUUCUUCUAAAAAACCCCCCCUAAACCGAAAGCAAAGAUGGACUUUUAUAGGAGAAAAUCAAUUCGAUUAGAGGGAAAACGGAUUAAAAUUUGAAUUUCAAAUCCCCUUUUUCCGGAAACAGUAGAAAGGAUGGGGCUUUCUACAAAAGAGGAUGAGGGGACGAGGUGAGUAUGGGCGUUGCAGGGUAGUUGGACGAGACUUCCGAAUUUGUUGAGAUUUGUUGCGUCUGGAAGAGGAAGAACAGGGUAGGGGCGGUUCAUGUGUGAAAAGGAAGAAGAAGAAGAGUACAGGAGUCGUUUGGUACUGGGUAUGUACGUAUUGCUACUGUUGAUGUAUUGUUGAAUGGAAUUGUUGGAUCUUUUCUAUUGUGGGCUGAUGGGUUAGGAAUUUAAGAGUGGGAAAAGGCUGCUGAAAAAUUGCACUUGGGCUGAAGGAAGUAAAAAAAAAGAGGCCCCAACAUUUUGGUCUUAUCACAAAUGGGUUUAGGUGGGUAGAAGGGUUGGUUGUGUUUGUAAUAAAAAGGUUAAGUUUUGAUUUGAGGAUUUGGCCAUAUAGAUUGCAAUUAAGUUCGAUUAGAUUUAAGAAUUUAGUCAAAUUGAGCUUAAUUGGUGAUUCGACUAAAAAGCUAAAUAAGACGAAUUAAUAUAAAUUAAUUAAUGAGCUUCUUAAUCUCAACGAAAUAAAAAAUAAUGAACUUAAUUGUAAACUAAUUAAUUCAAUUACAAAACUAAUUAACUUGAAAUUAUAGCUAUAACUUAAAGCAAAUUAAUAAAAUAUUUAACUAAAAUGUAAAAUCUUUUGUGAUGAUUUUUUGAAUAUUUAUAAAAUAACGUGAUUGCAAAAAUAUACAUAUUUAUUAUUAAAAUGAUAAUUACUUUAAAAAUAACUUGAAAGUAUUUUGAAUUUCAUAAAACUCAUUAACUCAAAAUUAUAACCAUCCCUAAUAUUUAAAAUAUAAAAUCUUUUUUGAGACGAUUUUCGAAUAAUCAUAAAAUAUACUAAUUAUAUACAUAAUUAUGUAAAACAUAUAUAUUAUCUAAAAAUUAUGAAAAGUGACAAAACUAUUUUAAAAUCUUGCAAACUAUAUUAUUAUUUUUUGGAAAUUUUAUAAAACUAAUUAUUUUAAAUUGUUUGAAAUCGGAGAAGCUCGAAAUGAUUAAUUUAUAUUGUGGAGGGUCAAAAUUGGGUGUCAACAUUAUAUAUAAUUAAAAUUCAAGAUUAAUUGUGGCGUUGAUACGUGACAUUUUUAUAUCUCCUAUUAUAUAUAAGUAAUUUAAAAAAAAAUUGAAAUUGAAGAUUAAUUGUGGCAUUAACAUUAUUUAUAGAUAUAGAUAUACUCUCUGUCCCAUGUUAGUUGAUCAUAAUACUAAAUAUAGUUGUCUUAUAGUAGUUGAUUACCUUAUUAAAUCAAGAAAUUAUUAAUUAAUUAUUAUUUUUAUUACCAUUGCAAUUAAUUCUUUUUGAAAGUGUUCAUAUUUAUUUCUAAAAAUUCUGAAGAAAUUUUUUAUGGAGUAAAUUAGUAAAAUCAUCAUCUUAUUUAUAAUUUCUUAAAAAUUGUACAAAAUUUUAGCCUAACCACUAGAAAGCCAAAAGAGAACCUUUUGAUGGAUUUUUAUAUAACUAUAUUAUGCCUCCCUUCUCUAUAUCCUUUCAAUAUUCUUUCUCUGUUUCUUGUCAAAGAUUUCCAAUUUUUCCUCUCAACACUUAGCUAACUCUUCUCUCCUCUCUUUAAUCAAGAACAAGAAGAAGGUAUUUAUAGAAAGGGAACUGGGAUUCGAAAUUGGGGGAAAAGGGUAGAAUAGGAAUUCGAGUUCAACCUCCAAUUUGAAAAUUUUCAACCGAAAUCCCCCAAAAUCCGCACGAUAAGAGGGCGUGGAUGGCUUGACAGGCGGUUGUUCCAGGACGCAACUGCAGGUCUGUUCCAUCGAUGAAGACGAUGGCAGCUUUCCGUCUUUUUGACUUGUGAAGGAGAAAAAGUCGCGUACUACUGCUGUCUGGUUCACAUGAGCUGCUGAAUUCGGGUCGAUGCUGGGUUUCGUUUUGUGCGGGUCACGAUGAGGAAGAAGGAGAACGACGUACAAGGGUCGGGUCUGCGUCGGCUACUGUUUGUUGUAUUUAGGACCGUUGUACGUAUAUUACUGUUGGGUCACUUGGAAUUGUUGUUUGGAUAUGAUGUGUGUAUUGUGUGGAAUGGGUUUGUUUGGUAUUAAAUUAGUGGGCUUGAAUUUUGGUUGGUUAAGAG
rnacentral:lncRNA from 1 species